UGGGUGGGAGAUCGUGGGUCUAGCACCAGCUAUUUUAAAACUUUGCUUGGGUUAGCUCUUGCCUGGCAGGAUUUUAGUCAUGUAUAAUAAAGUCAUCUUUUGCAUAUGUAUACAGAAAAUAUUUUGAUAAAGUUUAGUUAAUGUCCUUUUUUAAAAAAAGAAUCCUAUGUUUAACUACAUGUCCUAUGCAAAAGGCAAAAACGAUCAAAGUGAAAAGGAGGAGAGCUAGGGCUCAACAAGUAAAGUAUGUGCUAAGCACAUGUGUGGGCUUGAGUCUAGAUCCCCAGCAACAACAUGGAAAGCUGCAAAGCACCACACUCACACACACACAUGCAUAUGUACAUACCAGACACCACCACACACAUGUACAUGUAUACACCAGAUACCACCACACACAUGUACACACCAAACACUACCACACACAUGUACAUGUACACACCAGACACCACCACACACAUGCACAUGUACACACCAGACAGCACCACACACACAAUGCACAUGUACACACCAGACACUACCACACAUGCAUAUGUGCACACCAGACACCACCACACAUGCACAUGUACACACCAGACACCACCACACACACGUACAUGUAUACACUAGAUACUGCCACAUGCAUAUGUGCACACCAGACACCACCACACAUGCACAUGUACACACCACACACCACCACUCACACAAUGCGCAUGUAUACAUCAGACACCACCACACACAGGCAUGCAUAUGUACACACCAGACACCACCACACACAUGCACAUGUACACACCAGACACCACCACACACAUGCACAUGUACACACCAGACACCACCAUACACAUGCACAUGUACACACCAGACAGCACCACACACAAUGCACAUGUACACACCAGACACCACCACACACAUGCACAUGUACACACCAGACAGCACCACACACAUGUACACACCAGACACUACCACACACAUGCAUAUGCACAUAUACACAGCAAACAGCACCACACAGACAGUGCACAUGUACACAUCAGAUAGUACUACCCAGGCACAUGCACACAUACACACCAGAUGUCAUAGAACACAAAGGUUAGGAAGUCAAAGGUGUGGGAUGUCAGCAGAAACACAC
rnacentral:lncRNA from 1 species